GCCUGUAGGUGGCGGUAAUGCACCUUAAGGUGGCAUGCAAACUGCCAAUAAACAUUAGAAGAAGAAGUUGCUGGAAAGUUAUGGGUGCAGUACUCUCCAACCUUCUCCUGGCUCUGGUGUGUGAGCCUGUUACUCCAGCAAAGUUUUUCAGCCUGUCCAACUUUGUUUUGCCUACAACCUACCUGUGCUAAAAGCCAUCUGGGUAGCCUUCAGUGUCCUCUGGAGUUUCCUAAAUCCCAUCAUCUCCUGUGUGCGCCGCCAUCUUCAUCUGUGAUGAGAAGCUCAACAAGAGCCGUCAGCUCCGGCCAGUCACAGUGACUGUACUUCGGGAGGCCUGAGAGGUCAAGCAGCUGGUCACACCCAGAUCCCAGAGAAGUUGCCUCAUGCUCAGGAGAGGACUGAUCACAUUCAGUCUUCAGGCUCCAAAGAGGAGAUGAGAGAGAGCUCAGCCUGGAGCUGUUUUCUCUUCAUCAGUGCACGCUAGUCCAGAUGCUUCACCUGCAUGAAAUCCAGUUUGGCAGCAAAGAGGGGACAGAAACCCCAGAAAGACAAUGUGACAACUUGGGGGGAAAAUAAGCCAGAAUGCAUUUGGAAGCGACAGAUCACAGGCCAGGCAGCAGAGAGCCUCGUCCUCAGAGGACGUUUGUUGUAAAGGUGAUGCCCUCCUGUCUUCAUUCUGGGGAAUAUUAGGCUGUGACGAGCACAACACAUUUUCAUCAUCGCAGUCAGAAAUGUAAUGUACUCCUUUGUGUUGCCUAUUGUACCACCAGCUUUAAUA